AAAUAAAUUAAAUAAAGUUUUUUUAUAUAUUAAACUUAUGGUUCGGAAAUUUAAUUAUGUAUAUAUUUUGAUUUAUAAGUGGUAAUCGAGUUUCGUUGCUAUAUGAAUACAAUUUAAGAGGUGCUGAAUUACGGUAGGGUGCUUUUCAGUCAGGAAUUCGGCCGAUACUUAAGUCCCCAUACAAAAAAAUUAAUCCCUAUGGGAGUAGAGCCUAUUGACUGCGGUUCCUAACUGGAACAGGCUACUCCUAGCACGGAUCUGUCCGAACCAAUUCCCACCCGUCGUCGGAAGUCAGGCUGGCUACCUAUAUACCUAUAAAACUGGCUUGGUAGUGGUCCAGUCUUGCUGUCGAUUAUUUCUAUGAGCGAUAAAUUAUAAUAUAAUGACCAUAAUGUAUUCGACAUCGAUGUCCGGCCUGGGAUCCUCAACAUUUUUCCCAUUUCUCUGGACUUGAGCUUCACAGGAAACCGGGCAUAGACUAGUGCAACCGGCAGCGUCGUCCAGAGGAACUUAGAUCGUCCACCCGCCUAAAUACUGCAUUUUGAUGCUUCAAGGAAAAGAAGUUGGGCGCCAUUUCUGUUACGUAGGCCUAUUAGUGCCCAGUCCAAUGGACAUGAGCCGAGGAAGAAGCGUCCGAUGCUCAAUCACCUUCUGCCGGCGUAAGCGUCGUCGUGGCUUCUUACCUCUCCAACAUAACCAGAAAACAAUAUUUAAUGUGCCUAAAUCAGCGCGAGCCAUGCAAUCUUUAUUUUAAUGUAUUAUUUUUAAUAUAUUUGAAAUUCAUUCAUGUGUUUUAUUUUCCUGCAAUCGUUGUUGCUGCAGUUGUUGUUGAAUUUAACACUCAAGGACAAAAAUAUCCUUGACCCAAAGAUCGAAGACGAAUUAACCAAUUUUAGGUAUCCACUCGAAUAAGCCUUUAGAUUUUCGCAAGGUCCUGGUCCUUUACAAGUCCAUAAGAUCGCUAUCACUUUUACAGCGCGAUGUCACUCGGAUAUUUCGGCGGUUCACAGUUGUUCUUUUCAUUUUUUCCUUGAUCUGCAGUCCCCUUAUAAAGGUUUCUGAGUGCCAAGAGUGGUAAGAGGUGAAUUUCGUUCCUAUGAAAUGCCCGUUCAGCCCCAAAUCUGUUCUCUUCAAUGCAUCCAGAUCAAAUACUCCGGUGUGAAGUCGAAUUCAGGCCAUUUGGGUACAAAAGUCUUCUAGACUUGUGAAACUAGGGUAUUGACCUUUAUGAGCAAUUCACUUCGCUUGUGCUUUGUGAAAUUCCAUGGUCUUACGUAAAUGUGCUUGGUCGAACCCCCGGUUACCCGUCAUGUUGUAAAGUCAGCUUUCUUUCUGCCACACUGGGAAAAAUGUAACAGCUUUAUCGCAAUAGAUUUUGUAUUUGGGUGGAAAUCUAGUUAGACUCGCUUACCUGGACGUGAAAUUUAAAUUCUCCGUUGAGAACUGAAGUUCAAAUUUGUGAUGGGAUACGCAAUUGGCGUUCCAGGAGCAUUCUUUCAGGGGAGUCCUUUACACUGACGUUGAAGUAGUUAUUGUUGUAAUUGAUGCAACGGUAGUUACUAAGGGCUCCGUACUAUAGGAGGGGAGAUGUGCAUUGCGAGCUCCAUGACAGAGCAGCGGCAGCGCUGCUUGGGUAUUAAAGUCGGG